AUGCAGAAAAAAGAGCGAGAGAACACGAAUAUUUUAUCGGGUGGAGAUAUCCAGGUGUAUUACUGUGCAGUGGACCUAAAGAGCAGACCCGAGGGAAGAUUGAGGGCCACUAGGUUCUUAUCUGCACCUGCUGCAUCAUGGGUAACUUCGCUGGCAAGGACGGCCAUGGCCUUACAGGUUACAUACACAGUUAGCACAAAUAGUCUCAUGUUGAUUUGCUAGGUUUAUACAGACAACGUGUUAUUGGUUUAUAUUAAACUAUUUGGCAGUAACUGUCUAGAACUAUCUCUUCCUGAUUCCCACAGACAGGUGUUGUUCCUGGCUAAAGGACUCCAUUAUCCCUUACCUGCUUUCCUCAACAUUCCAUUAUGUGUUUAUGUGAGUCAAUGAGAGCAUUAGCCCUACAAAGCUCACUGUCACAUAUACAGUUAUUGUAGAGUAAUUUAAACAGUCCGGCUUAGGGUAUUACAUAGGAAGUAUAUAUGGAAUUUGUAUUCCAGCAACGGUUCUAUAUGUUUUAGGAACAAACCUUUCUUGGACAGUAUCUGACAAAGUAUGGUAUCCCAUUGAUUCUACCUACCACUCCUAAACCAAACCAAAAAUGGAUUGUCAUAAUGUCUCAAUUGGUCAGUAUGCUCCUGCAGACAGCAUGUAAAAUAAAACGUGUUCAUGCUAACUACAACAUCCAUGUUUGAUGUUCAUUUACAGGGCUGGUGAUAGAGUCGAAUAACUGGAUUGAAUAUUUAGUUGGAAUCUGCUCUGUGAUGCAAACCAUGCACAUUUUGACAGUCUACCGAUUUAACAAUGCCACCUGCUGCUGGAUAUCUGCUACUAAACAGGUCGAGCAGUGUUGUGGCACAUUCAGCGCUAUUGCUAUCUAAUGUGGUUUACAUUGUCAUUAUAUUUAAAUCAUUAAUUAUUUAAUGAAAGUAUCUAAUCAUUGGGGUGUCACCUGGCAGCCUAGUGGUACAAAUGGUUAAGAGACUAUGAGUACAAUAAUGUACUUCUGCACAAUUUGUUGAUUAUUUGUAUCCCUCUUCUCAAACGGUCUGUAUUUCUGCUCACAUUGCUAACUUUGAACGUGCGUCCUACCUGAAUCAUCUUCAAAUUCUGAUACACGCACGCAUGUCCUCACCAGUACUCCCGUUUCUAUCUGUUUGAGCCGUUUUCAGUAUACAGAAAGCGGUCAGAUUGGGAUGAGAAUAGCUCCCUGGAUACUGCUUGUAGACCGCCAGUCACACGCUAUGCAUGAGGCCCUCCUAGCAGAAUGAUGAGUCUGCAGUCUGCAGCCCAUCAUAGGGAGAGGAAACAUGAGACGCCAGGUCUGUCCAAGCCCAAGUCCCUAGAGAUGUUCAUGUGUUUGGCUGCAGGAGAGUAAACUGGCUUCAUGUUAUUCAAUUGACAAGGUGUUAGCGGCACACGCUUUGUAUGGUCUAUAAUCCUAAAACAGACUGAGCGGGGGGGCAUUCAAUGACUGUUUACACAUGCAUAUUCUUCAUCAAAGUGAAGGCGUCUGUCUAUCGCCUCCCCUAACUGGGCUUUUCUGUACAGUUUUAGCUUAGAACUUCCUCUCUCUCCCUCACCCUUUUCCCCAUCUGUUCCACUCCGCCGCCGUUCCCCAUCAGAUCUUAACCCAAUCUCUCUCUGUCUCCCUCUGACU
rnacentral:lncRNA from 1 species